CCCAAUCUCGUUCCUCCCUCUCCCAAUUGUACAUCUCUCUUUCUCACUCGCCCUCAACUUCACUCAAUCGAUCUCUCGACCUCGUGUCUCUCUUUUUCCCAAUCUCUCAUCAUCUCUCAGCCGUCGUCUCUCCAACUCUCUCUACAUGCAACAAGAAACAAUGGCUUUAAAGAGUUUCAAACAAAUAAAACUCACCUUCGGCGACGGUUCCUGUAAUGGUGGGUUUUGAACUGAUUCCUCAGAUAAAAGGGGCAAACUGCCAAAAUCCUUUAGGGUACUCAGCUUGGAUCGGCCUAUUUGGAUGUUCGGUUUUUGGAAAAGUGAAGAAUUGAUCAUCAGUUUCGCUUUUCUCACAACCUUGUUGGUGUACUCGGCUUUGGGCGGCUCGUUUGCACCUGUAGCUUGCAGCGGCAUGGCCUUGCUAAUCUCUUUCGAAGGCAAAUACCCUACUUAUGUGCUUCUCAUUACCGACUGUUUUUUCGAUACCACAUCUGUUUGCCUGCAAAGAACUAGUGGGACGUGAAGGAAACGUAUGGUUAUACAGACCAAACUCGAGAGAAAAGGUUCGGCUUCCAGUUGGAUCAUGUGAGCUUGCACUUCCUAUGAGAGGCAGAGAGUUGGCUCACAAUGGGAAUGCUCCAAGAGAAGCCUAUGCAACGAUUCUGCAUUCGGCUCAUGUUUAUGUUUGUGGAGCCAU